GGAAUAUAAGAAUCCGUCUCUUAACGUUUAACUAAAUAAAUUAAGAACCGACUCUUAAAUAUCUUAUUUAAGAGCCGGUUCUUAAUUUAUUUAGUUUAAAGUUAAGAGAUAUGUUCUUAUAUUCC
rfam:Brassica napus, WGS project CCCW01000000 data, contig: 11590